UGGAACACUAACAACCCACUUUCUCCUGUUCUUCCAGGCAGCACCGCCAGGUUGAUGUCCCAGCCUCCCUUGUAGUUAGGAGGGAUCACGUGACUUAAAGUUCUGACCAAUGGGAUGGGAUCAUCCUGUGAUGUGCGUCACUUCCUGGCCCCUCCCACAAAGCCUCAGUGCAAGUCUCCACCCGGAGGACUUGCGGGUCUUAGAGACUGGCAGGGCCACAAGAUGGGAGGACCUCAUCCUCACUCCGUGCCACCGUUUUGGCUUCACACGGGUGACAAAUGGAGUGUCAAGGUCUCAAGCCAUAGAGACUUUGAGGUGGUGGUGUGAGUCCUAAGCAUACAUACAGUAACGUUCCAGGACUUGGCACUACCUGAAGUAUAUUUUAUAUGUUUAUCAUCCAUUUCUGCCGCUAGAAUGUGAGGUCUCCUUGGACAAGGAUUCGGUCUUGCCUUGUUCACCAGGGUGGCCCUGAUCUCAGAGUAGCACCUCACAUGUCAAGGAGCCCACUGACUGCUUGUUGAAUAAACAAGCAAGUGAGGGGGGGGGGAAAAAAAUCUUCAGCGAGAGGGUGUGGUAGGAUGCCUUUAAUGUCUGUGUGCAUGCAUGUAACAAGAUGCAGAGAGCUGUGUUCUCAUGACAGCUGGUGCAGAAAGCCUUCCAGGGAGAGGCCAGUUUCUACCUGAAUGACAUCGUUCUUUGCAAAUCCGCUUUGAGCAAAACGUCCCUGGGACUCCUCAAGGUCAGCUCUCAGCUGGGCUUGAAAUCGCUCUGCAGGAGACCGACACAGGACCCUCUGCCAGUUCUGACCACGUUCAGAAUAAAAACUACUGUGUGUGGACUGAAAUGCAGAGAUGCUGCAGGACCUCCAUCCCAUACCUCUCUGUCCCUCUUCUUCUUUAUUCUCCCCUUUGUGAACUCUGCCCCUGCCACACUGGCUACCUUGGUAUUCCUGGAACACAGCAAUCUCAUGCUGCCUCAGGGCCUUUGCACUUGCCAUUGCUUCUCCCUGGAACACGCUCAAACUUAUGUGGAUUAUUUUAGUGGCUUGCAUCCUUCCCAGCUCCUUGAAGUGUCUACCCCCAAGUUGCCUCUUCCGGGAGGCCUUUCCUGAUUGCCUCAUUUAUUGAAUGCUAUGUUCACUGUCUUCCGCAAGAGAGUGUCAGCUCCUCCAGGCAGGUGCCCUUGAUGGUUCCAUUCUCUGUUGCAUCCCCAGCACUUAGAUUAUUCCUUGGUAUGUUCUUGGUCACAUGUGCAUGUGCACAGGUGUGACUUAUUUAACACUGUGACAUCGGGGUGAAAAAAAUGGCUGGCACACAGGUGGCUAUUAAGACUGGGUUCCACAAGUCAGACCCUGAGCUGGAGUCAGGUGAAAGUGAUGCCUCAGGAAGCAAUUCUGGAAACAAUCCAUAGGGAGUGGGGAGGUAGGACAGGGAAAGGAAGGAAGCCAAGAGAAGGUGUGUAUCAACAAAGUCGUAGAGAGGGGACCUGGAGCUGGAGAUAGCGUGUCAUUCAUUUGAGUUGUCCUGCUUAAGGGUGGAGGAGAGCAAAGCCUUUACAACCCACAUCCACCAAAGUGCUCUAGAGGGAUGUCAAUGUCCAGGCACUUCUGGCUUCUUGUGCAUGCAGGUAAAGUGUGUUUCAGCAACUUGAGGGCUGUCCACUAAUAGAAAGAGUCAGGUGCUGACUCUUUAGCAUGCCCAGAGCUGGACUCCAGUGUGCAGCAAGGAGGGAGAAGGAUCCCAGGGAUUGUGGGUGAAACUCUGGCAGCCUCUGCUACACUAGCCUGCCCCAUAUUUGUUGAGUAAAUGCUCCAGCCUAGCUUAAUUGCAACUGGAACACUCCUGUAUCUAAAGAAAUGACCCCAGGACUGCCCUGGUGAUCUGGCUAAGAAUUUGCAUCCCAAUGCAGUGGACAUGAGUUCAAUCCCUAGUCCAGGAACUAAGAUCCCACAUGCAAAUAAG
ensembl:lncRNA